UAGCCCGGAUUGAAGCGGCAUCCUUUUGCAAAACGCAGUGAAGCAAAAGAUACAGCGGAAAGCCGGAACCAGC
rnacentral:sRNA from 1 species